UGAUUGAAUUUAUUAUCAGUAUAACCUGCUCAAUGUUAAUAAAUAGCCGCAGAAAUCUGUGCUAAGGUAGCAUAAUCACUUGCCUUUUAAUUUAAGGCUAGAAUGAAUGGUUUAACAUGUGAAUUAUUUUAUUAAAUAUAUUACUUUAACUUUACUUGUAAGUAAAAAGGCUUACAUUAUUAGAGGGACGAUAAGACCCUACCAAACUUUACCUUACGUUUCACUGGGGUAGUGGAAAAAUUAUAUCUUUAUUUUAUUUUUUUCUAUAAUCUAUUCUAUUAAAUUAUUUUCAAGUUACUGUAGGGAUAACAGCAUAAUAUUCUUUUAAAGCCCUUAUUUUAAAGAAAGUUUAUGACCUCGAUGUUGAAUUAAAAAAUCUUUUAAAGAGCAAAAUCUUAAUAAGAGAGUCUGUUCGACUCUUAAAUUUUU
rnacentral:rRNA from 1 species